CUGGGCGACUGCGCAGUAUCAGGCCGAAAGGUAGUACUGUGAGGAAAGUCCGGGCAUCAGAGGGCAGGGUAACUGAUAACAUCAGCCGCGGGUAACCGCCGGAAAAGGGCAACAGAAACAGACCGCCGGACGCACAGCGGACGGCAAGGGUGGAAAGGCGAGGUAAGAGCUCACCCACUUCCAUGGUAACAUGGAUUUGCUGUAAACUCUAUCCGAUGCAACACCGUGCAGGCGAUCGGGAGACCGAUCCGGCUUGCCCGGCCGCUCCCACAAGGGAGGCAUGCUGGGUGGCACGGGGCGGGGGAGAGACCGCCCCGGAGCGUCCCGGUGACGGGGCGCAAAGAUAGAUGGCCGCCACCCCGCAAGGGGGACAGAACCCGGCUUACAGGCGGG
rnacentral:RNase_P_RNA from 1 species